UUAAGCAGCCAUAUCACCCUGCAACUCACAACUGGCAACCCACCGAAGCUAAGCAGGUGUGAGCCUGGUCAGUACCUGGAUGGGAGACCUCCUGGGAAAAACUAAGGUUGCUGCUGGAA
ensembl:rRNA 5S_rRNA 5S ribosomal RNA